rnacentral:lncRNA from 1 species
ACGGAAUCUCUCGUUGCUAUGCACGCAGACUGUGUAAACAGGCCAAUAGAAGUCGCCUGUGUGAAAACUGAUCAUCUCAACAGGGGUUGUCAGGGACCCCUCGCUCUGAAGCCACCUUCCCAGUGUGACUUACAACAUAGGACAAGUAGCCGCGUGGACACUCUCACAGAAGGAAGGACAAGAAGAGCGACUCCACAUAUACAAGCAGGAGCUUUAGGAUGUUGGGCUAUGUUAAAAUGGGGAUGGGGAGAGACAGGGAUAACAUUUGUGAUGGCAGGUGCCAGGCAGCACAGGGAGAGUGAUACAAUUUCCAGUUGGGAAAUUUCACCCAGAGCUUGCUGCUUUCUUCUGAUUUUACUUCUCAAUAUCUGAAGUAUUUAUUUAAUUUUUUUCUGUCUUAUUGGACUAUAAAAUCAUGGAGUAUGAGGAUUAAGUCAUCUUUCCAUCUUUUUCCUAAGUCACAUAAACAAAUUCCAAUCCCUGCGCUCAUUUCUCAAAUUGAACAAGAGUAAAGAAGGCCAACAGCCAACUACAUCUUAUCAAGAAGAGUUUCUUAGAAAUAAGAUUAAAAUGGAAACAGACUUUUAAAGGAGAAACGGCUGCAUCCAUUUAUUGCAUUUUAUUGUCUACAGACUGUCAAGAGUAUACUGGAUGUGAGAAUUCAGCUGCAUCCUACGAUCUGCCUUCAGGAGGAC